rnacentral:rRNA from 1 species
UACGUAGGUGGCAAGCGUUAUCCGGAUUUAUUGGGCGUAAAGGGAACGCAGGCGGCAGCGCAAGCCAGGAGUGAAAGCCCGGGGCCCAACCCCGGGACUGCUCUUGGAACUGCGCGGCUGGAGUGCAGGAGGGGCAGGCGGAAUUCCUGGUGUAGCGGUGAAAUGCGUAGAUAUCAGGAGGAACACCGGUGGCGAAGGCGGCCUGCUGGACUGCGACUGACGUUGAGGCCCGAAAGCGUGGGGAGCAAACAGG